CACACAGUACAUAGCCCCGCUAAAAAUGUAAUAAUAUCACGGGCAUUGUACAUUGUAAGCAUCAUCAUAACAGCCACAGACGUGUUAAUAACUACAUUAUGAAAUUUUACAGUUUA